AUUGAACGCUGGCGGCAGGCUUAACACAUGCAAGUCGAGCGGGGGAGGUUGCUUCGGUAACUGACCUAGCGGCGGACGGGUGAGUAAUGCUUAGGAAUCUGCCUAUUAGUGGGGGACAACAUUCCGAAAGGGAUGCUGAUACCGCAUACGCCCUACGGGGGAAAGCAGGGGAUCUUCGGACCUUGCGCUAAUAGAUGAGCCUAAGUCGGAUUAGCUAGUUGGUGGGGUAAAGGCCUACCAAGGCGACGAUCUGUAGCGGGUCUGAGAGGAUGAUCCGCCACACUGGGACUGAGACACGGCCCAGACUCCUACGGGAGGCAGCAGUGGGGAAUAUUGGGCAAUGGGCGGAAGCCUGAUCCAGCCAUGCCGCGUGUGUGAAGAAGGCCUUUUGGUUGUAAAGCACUUUAAGCGAGGAGGAGGCUACUAGUACUAAUACUACUGGAUAGUGGACGUUACUCGCAGAAUAAGCACCGGCUAACUCUGUGCCAGCCGCCGCAGUAACAC
rnacentral:rRNA from 1 species